ACAGAAACCCACCCAAUAUUGCUACCCUUGGGGCAGUUCCACUAACCCGCGUCACAGGUGAACCUGCGGAAGGAUCAUUACGAAGCGUCUCGAGGCUCCGGCCUCGAAACCUCAACCCUUUGUGUAUAGACCGCUCAGUUGUUGCCUCGGCGGGCGCUCGUUGCCCGCCGGUGGACAGCCCAAACUCUGUUUGAACAUUGCAGUCGGAGCUUAAUGCAAAGCAAAACCAAAUCA
rnacentral:misc_RNA from 1 species